UCUACGGGUGGCAGCAGUGAGGAAUAUUGGUCAAUGGCCGAGAGGCUGAACCAGCCAAGUCGCGUGAGGGAAGACGGCCCUACGGGUUGUAAACCUCUUUUGUCGGGGAGCAAAGCGAGUCACGUGUGACUCAUUGAGAGUACCCGAAGAAAAAGCAUCGGCUAACUCCGUGCCAGCAGCCGCGGUAAUACGGAGGAUGCGAGCGUUAUCCGUAUUUAUUGGGUUUAAAGGGUGCGCAGGCGGAGGUGCAAGUCAGCGGUCAAAUUGCGGGGCUCAACCCCGUACUGCCGUUGAAACUGCAUCCCUUGAGUGCGCGAGAAGUAUGCGGAAUGCGUGGUGUAGCGGUGAAAUGCAUAGAUAUCACACAGAACACCGAUUGCGAAGGCAUCUGACGAAUCGGAGAUUGACGCUGAUGCACGAAAGCGUGGGUAUCGAACAGGAUUAGAUACCCGAGUAGUC
rnacentral:rRNA from 1 species